rnacentral:lncRNA from 1 species
CAGGGACAGAGCGUUCACAUUCACAAAAACAGCUGCACGCGCUGCAACUGACCCCGCCCCUUUCACAGCUCAUCCCGCCCCCGGGGGCGGGGCCCGUUUUCGCCUCGGCGGGAGCGGUUCGGCUUGACUGCGCUCGCUGGAGCCCCGCUGGAGCGCUUGCUUGUACGUAAGCCGGAGGAGCGCCCCAGUAAAGCCGCGCUGGAACUGGUGAGGGUUAAGGUUUGGGGAAAGGAACUGCCUACUGGCUGAUGUGGAGGUAUGCAAUGUCUGGACUUGAUGCUGGCGUUUUUUUGUUGGAAGAUUCAGCAGGCUGAACCUGAAAUCUUCCAUGCACAGAUUGCAAGUUCUGCCACUGAAACAGGUCAAUCCAUACUCUGUGGAAAGGUUAUGGGAAUUGUCUACUUGGAGAAGUUGGCAGUGUACCCCUCGCAUUCAAGCUUCUCUUUGUAAUCUGUGUGCACACAGAAAAUUAUGUUACUGUUAUUAGGAACCUACGUGGUGUAGUUUUAGGGUUCAGCUAAAACAAGUGUGACAAAGGAUUGCUUUUUUAAAAUAAACCCACCUUUUCCUUCA